GAUGAACGCUGGCGGCGUGCCUAAUACAUGCAAGUCGAGCGAACGGACGAGAAGCUUGCUUCUCUGAUGUUAGCGGCGGACGGGUGAGUAACACGUGGAUAACCUACCUAUAAGACUGGGAUAACUUCGGGAAACCGGAGCUAAUACCGGAUAAUAUUUUGAACCGCAUGGUUCAAAAGUGAAGGACGGUCUUGCUGUCACUUAUAGAUGGAUCCGCGCUGCAUUAGCUAGUUGGUAAGGUAACGGCUUACCAAGGCAACGAUGCAUAGCCGACCUGAGAGGGUGAUCGGCCACACUGGAACUGAGACACGGUCCAGACUCCUACGGGAGGCAGCAGUAGGGAAUCUUCCGCAAUGGGCGAAAGCCUGACGGAGCAACGCCGCGUGAGUGAUGAAGGUCUUCGGAUCGUAAAACUCUGUUAUUAGGGAAGAACAUAUGUGUAAGCAACUGUGCACAUCUUGACGGUACCUAAUCAGAAAGCCACGGCUAACUACGUG
rnacentral:rRNA from 1 species